UGGAUAAGGGUGCCAACCCGAUUAUCAA
rnacentral:piRNA from 1 species